rnacentral:ncRNA from 1 species
AAAGAGCGGGCUAAACUAGGGGCUGGGGCAGGACGAUAGCGCACCUCCUAACAUUUCCCAGAAGGCCUCCUUCCAGGGGAGGGGGGCCCGAGCCAUCGGCGAGAUACCACUUUGAAAGUGCUAAAAUUCUAACCUUGCAUCAGGACCUACGAGCCUAGGAACAGUCUUAGGUAGACAGUGUCUAUGGGAUGUAGGCCUCCUAAAAGGUAACGAAGGCGUGCAAAGGUUUCCUUGGGCUGGACGGAGAUUGGCCUUCUAGUGCAAAGGCAGAAGAGAGUUUGACUGCAAGACCCACCGUCGAGUAGGAACGAAAGUCGGCCUUAGUGAUCUGACCCACCGUCGAGCAGGGACGAAAGUCGACCUUAGUGAUCCGACGGUGUCGAGUGCAAGGGUCGUUGGAUAAAAGUUACUCUAGGGAUAGCAGGCUGAUCUUUCUCAAGAGCUCACAUUGACGGAAAAGUUUGACAUCUCGAUGUCGGCUCUUCGCCACUUGGGGUUGAGUAUGUUCCAAGGGUUGGGCUGUUCUCAAUUUUAAUCAACUUUCUUUCAAUCAUGAACUCGAGCAAUUCUUUAC